CCGGUGUCGAGUUUGAACGACUUGUGCGGAUCAAUCCCUAGUUCCGGAGAGAAUGAGGUUUGUUGUACGGCGGGUUCAGCUUCCGCAGCUCAUUAUUUCCAGGAUACGGACCUGACCUUUGAAUACGCGUUCCCUUUGGUGGUCGCGGACACGUCUUUGGUGGACGAAGAUUACCACUUUUCUUCUUUCUAUUUCGUGAUUCUUUGUUCGGCCUAUUUUUACCGUUCCUAUGUUCAUGAAGGUUAAUUAGCCGUUUAAGUCCUAGGUCUAUAUUUUAUUAAGAGAACAAACCUAACUAGCUACGGCUUCUUCAUACUAUACUCUUAGAUGACGUCUGAACGAUCAUAAAUAAUCAUUCACAAUUCUCCACCUUUCCUUUAUACCUAGUUAGAUAAUGCACAAUCAUCAAACAUGCACGAACGAAACCACGUAAACAUGUGAAAGGAUUCAAGUAUACAACCAGAGCAUAAGUGUACAUAAUUAUUUAACCCUAACAUAACUCAAAAUAGAACAAAAAACCGUACCU
rnacentral:rRNA from 1 species